rnacentral:tRNA from 1 species
GAGGGUACAGCUCAGUGGUAGAGUGCAUGCUUAGCAUGCAUGAGGUCCUGGGUUCGAUCCCCAGUACCUCCA